GUGGGAAUCUGCCCAGAAGCAGGGGAUAACACUUGGAAACAGGUGCUAAUACCGUAUAACAACAAAAUCCGCAUGGAUUUUGUUUGAAAGGUGGCUUCGGCUAUCACUUCUGGAUGAUCCCGCGGCGUAUUAGUUAGUUGGUGAGGUAAAGGCCCACCAAGACGAUGAUACGUAGCCGACCUGAGAGGGUAAUCGGCCACAUUGGGACUGAGACACGGCCCAAACUCCUACGGGAGGCAGCAGUAGGGAAUCUUCCACAAUGGACGAAAGUCUGAUGGAGCAAUGCCGCGUGAGUGAAGAAGGGUUUCGGCUCGUAAAACUCUGUUGUUAAAGAAGAACACCUUUGAGAGUAACUGUUCAAGGGUUGACGGUAUUUAACCAGAAAGCCACGGCUAACUACGUGCCAGCAGCCGCGGUAAUACGUAGGUGGCAAGCGUUGUCCGGAUUUAUUGGGCGUAAAGCGAGCGCAGGCGGUUUUUUAAGUCUGAUGUGAAAGCCUUCGGCUUAACCGGANAAGUGCAUCGGAAACUGGGAGACUUGAGUGCAGAAGAGGACAGUGGAACUCCAUGUGUAGCGGUGG
rnacentral:rRNA from 1 species